AACGAACGCUGGCGGCAUGCCUAACACAUGCAAGUCGAACGAGACCUUCGGGUCUAGUGGCGCACGGGUGCGUAACGCGUGGGAACCUGCCCUUAGGUUCGGAAUAACUCCCCGAAAGGGGUGCUAAUACCGGAUAAUGUCUUCGGACCAAAGAUUUAUCGCCUUUGGAUGGGCCCGCGUUGGAUUAGCUAGUUGGUAGGGUAAAAGCCUACCAAGGCGACGAUCCAUAGCUGGUCUGAGAGGAUGAGCAGCCACACUGGGACUGAGACACGGCCCAGAAUCCUACGGGAGGCAGCAGUGGGGAAUAUUGGACAAUGGGCGAAAGCCUGAUCCAGCAAUGCCGCGUGAGUGAUGAAGGCCUUAGGGUUGUAAAGCUCUUUUACCCGGGAUGAUAAUGGCAGUACCGGGAGAAUAAGCUCCGGCUAACUCCGUG
rnacentral:rRNA from 1 species